rnacentral:rRNA from 1 species
AGCGAACGUUAGCGGCGGGCCUAACACAUGCAAGUCGAACGAGAAUGAGGGAGCAAUCCCUCUAGUAAAGUGGCGGACGGGUGCGUAACACGUGGGUGAUCUACCUUCCGGCGGGGGACAACAGUCCGAAAGGAUUGCUAAUACCGCGUACGUCGGCGAGGCCUCCGGGCUUCGUCGGGAAAGACGGCCUCUCCUUGGAAGCUGUCACCGGAAGAUGAGCCCGCGGCCCAUCAGCUAGUUGGUGAGGUAACGGCUCACCAAGGCUAAGACGGGUAGCUGGUCUGAGAGGAUGAUCAGCCACACUGGGACUGCGACACGGCCCAGACUCCUACGGGAGGCAGCAGUGGGGAAUAUUGGGCAAUGGGCGAAAGCCUGACCCAGCCACGCCGCGUGAGUGAUGAAGGCCUUCGGGUC